GACGAACGCUGGCGGCGUGCUUAACACAUGCAAGUCGAACGAAGAGCGAUGGAAGCUUGCUUCUAUCAAUCUUAGUGGCGAACGGGUGAGUAACGCGUAAUCAACCUGCCCUUCAGAGGGGGACAACAGUUGGAAACGACUGCUAAUACCGCAUACGAUCUAAUCUCGGCAUCGAGGAUAGAUGAAAGGUGGCCUCUACAUGUAAGCUAUCACUGAAGGAGGGGAUUGCGUCUGAUUAGCUAAUUGGAGGGGUAACGGCCCACCAAGGCGAUGAUCAGUAGCCGGUCUGAGAGGAUGAACGGCCACAUUGGGACUGAGACACGGCCCAGACUCCUACGGGAGGCAGCAGUGGGGAAUCUUCCGCAAUGGACGAAAGUCUGACGGAGCAACGCCGCGUGAGCGAUGACGGCCUUCGGGUUGUAAAGCUCUGUUAAUCGGGACGAAAGGCCUUCUUGCGAAUAGUGAGAAGGAUUGACGGUACCGGAAUAGAAAGCCACGGCUAACUACGUG
rnacentral:rRNA from 1 species